GCCCAUAAAUUUUUAAGUCCGAGCACGAACCCUACACUUUUGAGGCUGCCAAAUUUUUUCAUCUCCGCACGCCAUACUCCAUCGCCGCCCACCUAUGCCAUCACGCCCCGACCUCCGCCGCCGCCACCGGCCUCCACCACCACCGUCGCACCCCAUCUGCCGGCCUCCACCGCCGCCUCUACCGGCUGAUCGCACGGGCACGAGCUCCGACGCCGCCCCAUCCCAGCAAGGCCACCACGCCGGUGGCGAGUCCGCCGGCGCCAAGGAGCCCAGCCACAUGGCUAAACCGGCCGAGCACUUCGUUCUCAUGGCACCCCCUGUGCCGCCGCCUUCUCCGCCCGUCCGCACCACCGGUUGCUCGCCGAGGCCAAGAUGUGAACCAAAUGCCCCGAGGGGAAGGUGUCUCUGAUCUCCAUUAACGCGCUGCACCAGCUGCACAUCUUCAUCUUCUUCCUGCCCGUCUUCCAUGUCACGUAUAGAGCCAUCACCGUGGCGUUGGGCAGGGCCAAGGCAUGCUCUGUUUCUCCUCCUCCUCUCUGACUUCUUAUUCUUCUUGGUAAUAGUUUCAAGCUGCUUUCAUGGUGACGCUGCUGCAGAUUCGUGGAUGGAAAGAUUGGGAGAAAGAAGUCGCGGGGCAAAACUUCGAGUUCUCUAAUGAUCCGACGAGGUUCAGAUCCACUCACGAGAUCUAUGCCACGUCAUCCAUCGUAAGUGCUGUCAUGUGAAAGAACAUUUAUUUGACCCAGAGGGUUCCCUAGCGACAAGCGACGAAUUCAAGAAUCUUCGGGAGUGAAACAAUGCUAUGCCAUAAUAUUACUAGAUGGCAUAUUUAAAGUAACAAUGUACAAAAAUAUUGUAAUAUAUAUAUUUUUGUACACUUUCAGUUAUGCAAUAUAUGUAAAUUUCUCAUUACCAAAUGCUUGAUAAUCUUUCAAUAUAUGUACAUAAUAAUCUACCUGCAAGAAUUUUUA